rnacentral:rRNA from 1 species
UACGUAGGGUCCGAGCGUUGUCCGGAAUUACUGGGCGUAAAGAGCUCGUAGGUGGUUUGUCGCGUUGUUCGUGAAAACUCACAGCUUAACUGUGGGCGUGCGGGCGGAUACGGGCAGACUAGAGUACUGCAGGGGAGACUGGAAUUCCUGGUGUAGCGGUGGAAUGCGCAGAUAUCAGGAGGAACACCGGUGGCGAAGGCGGGUCUCUGGGCAGUAACUGACGCUGAGGAGCGAAAGCGUGGGGAGCAAACAGG